rnacentral:lncRNA from 1 species
GUUUAAGGGUGGAGUCAUGUUCAUACUUCCCAUUUUUUCCAAUAAACAAAUGUGUCACAAGGUCAUAGAUUUAGAACUAGAAUUGACCUCAGAGACCAGAAUUCAACCUGCUCAUUUACAGAUGAGGAAACUGAGGACCAGAGGGGUUAAGUGAUUUGCCUGAUGUCACCCAGGCAGUAAGUGUGAGAGGCAGGAUUUGAAAUGAGAUCUUCAGAGCUCUUUCCAUUGGACUACACUGCCUGAAGCGUGAACUGCUAGAGAGCCUAUAUUGACAGCAUCUACUCAGGGAGCCCAGAGCCCUGUCUGACUAAAAGAACAGAUGGACAUUGAAGCUACUGAUUCCAUUGCAGAUGACCAGCAAUUCUUCGGGUACCGAGAAAACCUGGUCUUGUGUUUCCUGUUGUGGACGUGCUCUGCCUGAAGGCAAGGGUCAAGGUGCUCACUGUCCCCUGAGAUCCCUGAGAAGGCCUCACAUCCCAACCUACAAGUCCCAGAGCCUCAUCAGUCCAAGCAGAACUCCAGGCCUUCAGUUUUCUCAUCGGCCUCUUCUCCAAGGCAAAGAUGCGAUUACACCCUGGGAUACAGCUAAUGGUCCAUGGAGCCCUCAUCUUCCUGUCCUUGGUUUUGGUCAUAUCCCUCGUGAUUGUGGCCACUCAAUGUGAGUAAUUUCAAGAGUUCCUAGCUAUGGUUCUAUAGGGCUUGCUCUAUCUCAAAUUGGUGGGGAGUUCUGCUUCUCCCUGGGGGAUAGGGGUGUCACUGUGGUAGCAGAAAUGGUCAGGGACGUGCAGAACACAGAAGAGUUAGAAGAGGUCCUAGGAGGAGCUUGGAACUUGACCUGGGCCUUGGUUGGGCAUCAUUCUUUUUUUUUUUUUU